GACGAACGCUGGCGGCGUGCCUAAUACAUGCAAGUAGAACGCUGAAGGAGGAGCUUGCUUCUCUGGAUGAGUUGCGAACGGGUGAGUAACGCGUAGGUAACCUGCCUGGUAGCGGGGGAUAACUAUUGGAAACGAUAGCUAAUACCGCAUAAUAGUAGAUGUUGCAUGACAUUUGCUUAAAAGGUGCAAUUGCAUCACUACCAGAUGGACCUGCGUUGUAUUAGCUAGUUGGUGGGGUAACGGCUCACCAAGGCGACGAUACAUAGCCGACCUGAGAGGGUGAUCGGCCACACUGGGACUGAGACACGGCCCAGACUCCUACGGGAGGCAGCAGUAGGGAAUCUUCGGCAAUGGACGGAAGUCUGACCGAGCAACGCCGCGUGGGUGAAGAAGGUUUUCGGAUCGUAAAGCUCUGUUGUAAGAGAAGAACGAGUGUGAGAGUGGAAAGUUCACACUGUGACGGUAUCUUACCAGAAAGGGACGGCUAACUACGUGCCAGCAGCCGCGGUAAUACGUAGGUCCCGAGCGUUGUCCGGAUUUAUUGGGCGUAAAGCGAGCGCAGGCGGUUAGAUAAGUCUGAAGUUAAAGGCUGUGGCUUAACCAUAGUACGCUUUGGAAACUGUUUAACUUGAGUGCAAGAGGGGAGAGUGGAAUUCCAUGUGUAGCGGUGAAAUGCGUAGAUAUAUGGAGGAACACCGGUGGCGAAAGCGGCUCUCUGGCUUGUAACUGACGCUGAGGCUCGAAAGCGUGGGGAGCAAACAGG
rnacentral:rRNA from 1 species